GAAAUAAUUUUAUCAGUUAAUAUCUGAUAGGAAAAUACAUGUACUUUUAAUUAAGACUUUUACUUUAAUGGAACAGCAUCAGCGUGUGGAAAAAAUCUACUCUCUUUUAAUAAACUACUGUUAUGCUUGGGUAACAUUGUUAGACUCACUACAUAGAUAUUGACCUUUUAGUUCUUGUAGGUCUUCAUAAUUUUGUCUUUUAAAAGAUAUUUUGCUAAGUUAAAGGAGAAAAGUAUAUAUAAACUGUUCUUGACGAAUAAAACAAUAGCCCGUAGUUGAAGCUAAGGGGUUAAAAAGGCCUAAGAACUCCAUGUGUGGCCUAGGUCCUUCAUCCGGGGUCAAUGAUCCGCUAAAAUCCGUUAUAUUGUUAGGUUCACUGCAUUUGAGGUGUUGUCUGGUUUAGUUCUUGUGAGUCUUUUAUGGUUUUGUCCUUUAAAAAAUACUUCAAGUUAAGGGAGAAGAAUGGUUAUAAACCAUCUUACCUCUGUUCCUAUUCAAUGUGAGAUUUUGGUGAGAAAGAACACCUGCGUGUUGAUCAUUCAUUGUAUACUUUAGACCACCACCGACUAGCUGACCCGAUGCUAUAACUUAGCACUCUUAUCUAUUAACUCCGAUUUCAAUAAAUAUAUACGUGCUAGGUAAUUCUCAAAACUCAAAAUAGAUUGCAUGAUUACACAAUAAUACAAGUAAAUUGUCAAAUUAUUUAUCCAACCCAUUUUAUAAAACAAAUUAAAUCACUCUAUAAAAGUCAAAAUUUAGGUGAUUCAAACACCCUUUUUCUCAGCAUGGAGACAAUGUAAUUUCUAUUUUUCUUAUUCUUCAUUUCAUCGUGCUAAUUUUAUCAACCUCCGUAGGAAAUGUAUAUGGUCUGUGGCGAAUAUAAGUGGCCCAUAGUUGCAUAUUCCAACAACCCUGCGCAACAUAAAAACAAGAGUUUGAUUAAAGGAUUAAGAAGUCAUUGCAGCAAGCUCUGCUGAAAGGCCACGUCAUUGGUGUAUGAGAACCGCACAAAUCACUAGCUCCUGCUCUUUUGUAUCCUCCACCGUCCCACAGACCAACAUUUUUACACAAAAAUGUUUUUCCUUCCUUUGUUGACUCUAAUCUAGUAUUUUUGAACAAUUAUAUCAUAUACGAGAGAAGAUCCACCUGUUCAAGUUGAAGUUAUGGUCGGUUUUUAGCAUUUCGAAGGAGAGUGGAGUGAAGAUCAUUAAAAUCAAUGCUAUCCAUUUGAAUCAGGCUAAGGUCGGUAAUGGGAAAACAGGAAGACACAAUUUUGGCAGCAAUGAAAUAACAUGCACUACAAGCGUGGUACUGAAAGAAAAUCUUCACAUGCUUCCUAUUUUGUUUCAUUAAUUGCUAAAAAUUGAACAUACAUAAAUUAUGAGUAUAGUCAAAGGCCUGAACUCGACUUUUGAUCUUAUUACCUUAAAAUAUUACUUGAACAAAUUGAUGUAUUUGUAAAAGAGUUAAUGAUAACAUUUAUUUCAUAUUCAUCCUUCUAGGAAAAAUU
rnacentral:lncRNA from 1 species